rnacentral:antisense_RNA from 1 species
AUAGAGCAACAACCUCUAUGCAGUUUUAAGUGAGCCCCGGUAAUCUUUUCCUUCCGCCAAGAUUGAAGAAGAUUAUCGGGGCUUUUACUU